rnacentral:lncRNA from 1 species
GAAACCGAAAACUCGGCGGCCGAGGCUCCGUGCCCCGCGCGCAGCGCUGCUCCUGCCCCGGCCAAGGACGCACGGGCCAGCCGGCGGAACCAGAGGGGGGAAUUUGGACACAGACACCCAGAAAGAACACUGUGUGACCACUGAGACAGAUCCUGCUUAUGCUGACUCAAGCCAAGGAAUGGCAAGGUUGCUGACCACCACCAGAAGCUAGGAGAGAGGAACGGAACAGGCUCCCUUUGAACCCCUAAGAAGAAGCUAGCCCUGCCAACAUCUUCAUUUCAGACUUCUGGCCUCCAGAUUGAGAAUACAUUUCUGUUGUUUUAAGCCACCAAGUUUGUGGUAAUGUGUUAUGGCAGCCUUAGGAAACUGAUACAUAGGUUAUGUUCCAUAAGUUAGUUUUAAACAAUUAUCCUGAAAAUAACUAAUAGGAAAAAGAUGAAAAAUACCAAUGGCUUAUUAAGCUAAGAGCUAAAAUAUCCAUCCUUGCUUAGUUUUGAUAAGAUUGUGUGGCCAAGGCACAUAUUAUUCUGCUUCGUUAAACACUCUUUUUAUUUUUUUAUUUGUGUGUGUGUUUUUAUUUUUAAUUUAUUUAUUUAUUUAUUUAUUUAGAGACGGAGUCUUGCUCUGUCACACAGGCUGGAGUGCAGUGGCACGAUCUCAGCUCACUGCAUGCUCCGCCUCCUGGGUUCACACCAUUCUGCCUCAGCCUCCCGAGGAGCUGGAACUACAGGCGCCGGCUACCACGCCCAGCUAAUUUUUUUGUAUUUUUAGUAGAGACUGGGUUUCACCGUGUUAGCCAGGGUGGCCUCAAUCUCCUGACCUCGUGAUCCUCCUGCCUUGGCCUCCCAAAGUGCUGGGAUUACAGGCGUGAGCCACCGCGCCCGGCCCAUUAAACACUCUUUCUUGACGUUCUCUCUUCCUUUUGAUUUCAGUAGCAAUACUCUCUCCAUUCUUCUUUCAUUUCCCUGACUUCCUCCUCCCUCAUAUUUUUGGACUUCUUGUUCUCCACUUGCCCCCUACAUGUUGGUGUUUCCCAGGGCCCCAGGGCCCCCUGAAUAAUCAUAUUCACAUCCAGGAUUUCAAUGAUCACUUGUGCCUUGAUGGCUCUCAGCUCUUCCUUUCCAUUGCAAUGAUUUCAUCUGCACUCCAGACAGUACUUUGAAAUUAGUAUGCCCGAAUUCAAACUUCAGUUAUGCUCACUUGAUUUUAUUAUACUAAGUGAAUGGUCCAGCCUUUAACCUUUACUAAGUUAAUGGGCCAGCCUUCAUUUAGUGUCCUCUGGACACUGAAGUUAAAACCCUGGGAAUGAUUCUCGAUCCAUCCUCUUUCAUCUUCCAUCUUCCAUCAGAAAGUCUCAUAUGUAUAACUAUUAUGGAGGAGGGAUUAGUGGAAUGUAUUGCCAACCUAUCUAACUUCUCAGAGGAAAAAUAGUUCUAUAACUGUCAGGAACAUUAUAUUUGUCUAUAUCUCUAUAUCUAUGUUUACAUACAUCUAUGAAAUCAGCUAUGUAAAUUGUGAAAUAUAAUUAUGAUUCUAUUUAUUCCACUACUGUAAAUAGCUAUAAUUACAAGAUGGCAGCAUUUUGUUACCAACUGAUGGAAUUUGAAGGUAUCGGGGAUUUUGUGAAGAAAGUGACUUCAUCACCUAAGCAGUGGAUAAUGGUUUACAAUUACCCUCAUCGACAAGUUCUGUAGAAUUCUGUUUUGUUGGCAUAUUAUCACAUUUGACUCUUUUUAAAUGAGACAGGGUCUGUGUCACCCAGGCUGGAAUGCAGUGGUGCAGUCUCGGCUCGCUGCAACCUCCGCCUCCUGGGCUCAAGCAAUCCUCCCACCUCAGUCCUCCAAGCAGCUGGGACUACAGGCACGCGCCACCAUGCUUGGCUAAUUUUUGUAUGUUUUAUAGAGACAGGGUUUUGCCAUGUUCUCCAGGCUGGUCUCGAACUCCUAGGCUCAAGUGAUUUACCCACCUCAGACUCCCAGAUUUCUGGGAUUAUAGAUGUGAGCCACAGUGCCCAGCUGACAUUGACAUCUUAAAGAUUCACUUUUAGGCCUUAACGCGUGCCUCUGUGAUUAUUAUUGGUGGUGAUAUUGGCCUUAUUUCUAAAAAAAAGUUAUUGGAAAUUAAAAUUAUUUUGUGGAAAUAAUUAUUUUGUGGAAAGCUAAACAGGUCUUCCAAAAAAAAAUUUAAUCUGAAAUUUAUCAUAAAGCUUGAUUAAUUAAAGGACAUCUGUUACUGAACUGAACUGGGUCCAUUUGCCCACUGUGCAAUGGAAAGCCAAACACCAAAACACUCGGUUUUCAUAGCAUGAAAAAUUUAUUGCAAGGCUACCAAGCAAGGACACGGGUCUGGCUCAAAUCUGUGUCCCCACCUGGCACUUGGGUCAGGUUUUAUAGCCAGAGGGUAACAAGGCAUGACCUGAUUGCAUCUUGCAAUAAGGUGAGGCUGGGAGGCACCAUCUGACUAGAUCCUGCCAUGAGGUGACACCAGGGCGCAAUCUCAUUGGAUCCUGGAUCCUGCCAUGUGGUGUCCACUUCUUAAUUUAGUGAUCCAAGCAUUUAGGUUCUGCCCAUGGUUGCAUUCUUAGUUCAUCUGAGCCUCCUCAAGUUACAUGACCUUCAACCUGGGGGUCCAUGGCAACUAAAAAACAACUCACAGCUUCGCUAUAUAAAUGGUGAACCAUAAAGUUGAACCAGCUAAUUAACACAGGAACAGAAAACCAAACACUGCAUAUUCUUAUUAGUGGGAGCUAAACAUUGAAUACACAUGGACACAAAGAUGGAACAAUAGACACCAAAGCCUACUGGAGGGAGGAGGGUGAGGAUUGAAAAACUACCUAUCAGGUGCUAUGCUUAUUACCUAGGUAAUGAAAUAAUCUGUACACCAAUCCCCUCCUUGACACACAACUUACCCACAUAACAAACCUGCACAUCUACCCCCUGAACCUAAAAUAAAAAUUGGAAGAAAAAAAAAAAGUUGAACCAGACUGGUCUGGUGCAGUUACACAUCUAACACUUCUAAAUAUCCAAAAAAGUGGCACUGCAAUGACAAAGCAAGAUGUUGAGCGUAAGAAGACUAUGUGGGACUUUCUCAUUUUAUCAUUUUAGGAAUUCCCUAUAAUUACUUAAUGAUGAAUUGCUUUUCUUUCAAAAUCUCUUAAGUGAUGAAUAAUAUUAUCCACAAUAAUUCUACAGGAAUUCCUUGAUUAAACUAGAUAUUAUCUGAAAAUUGAUUGAUUGAUUGAUGGAUGGAUUUUGCACAUUCCACCCUCUUCCAGAUGUUGUAAUUGUGCUCACACCUUCUUCCAGAAGUCAUCAGAAACCAGACAAUGAGGAGAACCUCCCUGGAUCUUUUACUUUUUUUCCCUCAGGGACUUUAGGGAAAAUAUUGAAUAUUGAUAGCUGCUUUUAUUCUCUUGGCCUGUGGUUAUGGCACUUACUAAAUUUGAGUGCAGUUGUUAAUGCUAAAGUUUAGAACAUUAAUACAGUGAGAGAGAAAUACUUUGGAGAGAAUUAGAUGGGAACUUUCUGGAUAUUUGAAAACUAUUGGCUUAAGGUUGAUCCGAAAUAAGUCUAUAGUUGUGUUUAUAUUUAAACUGAAUCUCUUACAGAAAACAUAUAGUUGAGACUUUUUUUUAGAAGUUGACUGACAAUCUCUGCAUUUUAAUUUGAUAGAGAGUGUUUAGUAGACUUAUAUUUAAGGCAGUUAUUGAUAUGCUUGUGUUUAGCCUACCAUUUUACUAUAGGUUUUGUGUUUUGUUCUCUCUGGUUUUGUUUUUUUAUUCUUCUUUUUCUUCUUUUUUUUCUGGACUAUAUAAAUACUUUUUAUCUUUUUAUAUUUCCAUUUUAAUUUUUUUAGAGUUGGGGUCUCACUCCAUUGCCCAGGCUGGUCUCAAACUCCUGACCUUAAGCGAUCCUUCCGCCUCAGCCUCCCAAGUAGCUGAUAUUACAAGCAUGAGCCACCAUAUCUGCCUUUGAACGCUUUUUAAAUUUCAUUUUUAUUUGCCUUUGUCUUUUUCUUAUUUCUCUUUGCAUGAUGUCUUAAUGUUUUCUCUAUGGAUUACAGUGUACAUUCUUAAAUUUCACUGUGUACUUGAAAUAGUAUUGUACCUUUUCACUUAAUAGGUCCAUUUAACCACACACCCCAUCCUUUACACUAUAGUUGUAAAGUGUAUUACAUCUACAGACAAGAUAAAACCCACAAUAUAGUAUGUAUUUUAAAGAAAUUAAGAGGAAAACUACUCUUUUAUAUUUAUACACAUAUUUACCUUUAAUGUUCUUAAAUCCUUCCCAAAGAUCUAAGCUUCUCUCUGGUAGCAUUUCUGUAAGCCUAACAAACUUACUUUAGUAUAUUUUUUAUUGGAAGUCUAUUGGAGAUACAUAGUAUUAGUCUUAUUUUAUUUGAAAAUAUCUUUAUUUCACUUCGUCCUCAAGGAAUAUUUUUGUUGGAUAGAAUUCUAUUUUCUUUCAACUAUUUAAAGAUACUGUUCUACAUUUUACUGCCUUUCAUUGCUUCUGAUGAGAAGUCAGCCAUUAUUUGAUUCUUCUUUCCUCUGUCAAUAUAAUGUGUCAUUUUUUCUCUGGUUUAAAUAUUUUCUCAUUAUCUUUGAUUGUCAAUAGUUUAUCAACUAUGUGCUUAGAAGUUUUAAAAUUAUUAUUUACCCUGCCUGGCAUUUGCUAAGCUUCUUGAAUUUAUAAAUUUAUGUCUUUUACCAAAUUGGAGAAUUUUUCAGCCUGUAUAUCUUUUUAGUACCUUUUCUGCACCAUUAUCUUUCUUAUCUUUUUGAAAUUCCGACUACAAGUAUGUCAGACCCCUUAAUAUAGUCCUAAAUGCCCAUGAGCCUCUGUUGUUUUUCAACUUUUUUUCUGUGCUCUUCAGAUUCAAUAAUUUCUAUUGAACUAUCUUUAAGCUUACAAAUUCCUUUUGUGUUAUAUUCGUUGGGCUAUUAUAUCCAUCUAGUAAAUUUUGUGUCAUAUAUAUGGUAUAUUUCAGUUCUAGAAUUUCAAUCUGUUCUUUUAAAAUAUAUUGUCUAUUUCUAUACUGGUUGUCCCUAUUCUUUUUAUUAUUAUGAACAUAUUUUCCUUUGCUUCAUUGAGCAUAGUUAUUAUAGUUGCUGCUUUUAAAACAUUGCUUCAUUAUUCCAAUAUUUACAUCAUCUUUUAGUCAAUCUCCACUGAUUUUUUUCUUUUAUAAGAAUGGAUUACAUUUUCCUGUUUUUUUUAUUUACCUAUUUUUGGAUUGUCAAAUAAUUUUGGAGUGCAACCUGUGCGUUAUAAAUAUUAUGUGAUGAAGAUUCUGUUCUAUUCCUCCAAUGACACUGAUUAUCUUUUAAAAUGGCAAGCAGUGUGGUUAAACUCAAACUGCAAACCUGAUAUUGCUUACAGUAAGUAGAAGCUCAAAUCUGAAUUCACUUUUUAAUGUUGACCAGGCUGCUUUGAGUUUGCCUUGCACAAGCAUGGUUCAGAGAUUAUCCAAUAAUUGGUAUUUAUUUUAAAUACAGAAUUUGGGCUUCUUCCUCUCUUGCUCCCUCCUUUAUGUUUUCCCGCCUCACUUUCCAAAUAAUGUUGUUGCUGUGAACCCUGACCCCUGGUUCUUCAAACUAGAAAUAUUGCAUAUUUUCUAACAGAGUUUUAGCUACCUCACAUUGCACAGACAUGCACUAGUCUUGGGCUGAGGGUCAUAAAAUUUGGGAAAGUUGCUCCAUGCCUUUCCUCUGCCAAGUGUUGACUUUCCUCCACAAUCUGCCUGGUGUUGGUCACUCUCCACUGCCGAUAAUUGUUUUUAAUUUUUAACAAUAUUUUUCUAGUGUUUUAUAUUGUUAUAUGUUGGGGAGGGGCAGUCAAUUAAACAGAGCUACUCAGCAAUGGCUGAAAGUAGCACUCCCUGCAAUUGUAGUUAUAUCUGCUAAGUGGCUAGGUUAUUGGGAGGAGCUAGUAUGAACUGUUUCCUUUGCUAAAUUAGAUUUCUCUCCAGUAGAACAUUCUUUUGGAUGCAACCCAGUUUUUCAGAAGAUUGAAAUACAUUUGCAUAGACCUAAAUCUGGAAAUUGAGUAAAAACCUUCUGAAAUCAGGUACGGUUAAUCUAUUAUGGCUGAACAUCACUUUAGAAUGAAGGCUUAAAUAAAUAUUAAUACCACUAUAAUACAAAGGAAAGAAUUUUAAUCAAAAAAAGAGAAUAGUUAAAUGCAUUCUUGGAUUUCCUCUGAACUUUGUUCAAAUGCUAAACACAAAAUUCAUUUGAGUGAGUUACAGUAAGCUAUACCUUUAUGUUUGUUACCUUAUUUGUGCUUAACUUACCUCCAUGUACACUAAAACAAAAACUUCCUAAAAGCACUCACUUUUAUACUCAAUCUUAUCAGCUACUUAAAUGUAGCUCCUUUUGUCCAAUUAUACUGUGGCCUAUGAUGCUUAGUCACUUUGGAAUAAUGGUCAGAUAGUUUUCAUACUCCCACGGGAAAUAUAUGGAGAACAGGCUAGGGAAACAUGUUUAUUCAAAUUUAAUACGAAGCAACCAAGCUAAGAGAGAAAAUGAUAGCACACCCAAGAAAGAAAGAAAUGUUAUUAUAUAAAUUUUCUUAGCUCUCAAACCACAAAUAAUUAUAAGAACUUAUCUUCCUAUCAUAAGAUCAUGGAACAUGAUGCCUAAACAUAAAAUUGUAAAUGUUUGUUUUGAAAAAGAAGACAGGCUGGGCAUGGUGGCUCACCCCUGUAAUCCCAGCACUUUGGGAGGCCGAGGCGAGCAGAUCACCUGAGGUCAGGAGUUCAAGACCAGCCUGGCCAAUAUGGUGAAACCCUGUCUCUACUAAAAAUACAAUAAUUAGCAGGCGUACUCAUGCAUGCCUGUAGUCCCAGCUACUCCAGGGGUUGAGGCAGGAGAAUCGCUGGAACCCAGGAGCUGGAGGUUGCAGUGAGCCGAGAUGGUGCCGCUGCACUCCAGCCUGGGCAACAGAGCGAGACUCCAUCUCAAAAAAAAAGAAGACGACAAUAGGCAAUUUCUUCUGAAAAUCUUCCCUGUUUUUAAAAAGAAUAAAAAAGUUAAAGAAUAUUCUGCUUGACUGGAUAUUUAGGCUUACAAACAUCCAUACUUGCAAAAUUAUAUACACACACACAAACACACGAAUGCUCAUUAGAAGAAUAUUGUAGUAACAAAGAACUACAAUCUAAAAAUCUGCUAAUAGAAGACUGAAAACUAUGAUUCAUUCUUUCAAAAGAAGGAAGAUUAUAUAUGUGUGCACCUAUGGAAAUAUGUCCAUCAUGCACAACUCAGUGAAAAAGCAGAAGUCAGAAAUGUAUAUAUAGUAUAUCCAUUUCAUCUAUUUAAUUUCUUAAUAUUUAUGGAGUAGAUACAUAAGAAUGUUCUGGAUAGGAUUACAAGAAAUUGGUAACAAGUUAUUCUUGUGGAGAAGGUCUUUAUAAAGAUGAAGGAUGAGGAGUAAGAGAAGCUUGUGCUUUUCAGAGCUGUCUGUGCAGAUUGGCUUUUUAUCAUUGGUAUUUUUACUUCUUAAAAAUAAUGAUUUUUGAAAUCAAAGAAUGCCUUGCUAGAAAAGAAGCAUCACUUGUUAUUUUUUGAAUGUUAUAUUCAAUUUAUAAUCAAUAAAUAUUUAUAAAAUGCUUAUAUACAAGGUAUUGCACUAGGUUCUUUGGAUAAUCCAUAAAACAACUUGUGCCUUGGUCCCUGUCCUCAAGAAGUUUACUGUCCAGUUGUGGACUAUGACAAUAAACGCUAUUUGUGAUAAGCACCGAUUGAGAAGCACAGGCAAUAGUCUUUCAGGAGUUCAGAGGAGUGAUGACUUUUGACUGUUAAGGAGGAGGGGUUUAAGAGCUACGAGAAAGAAAAAGUACGAGCCUAGGACAGAUAAUAGAGAUAACAACAGAAUUAUAGGAAAUGAGCAAGAGGGUGUGUCUGAAAGGGGAUCUUCCUCCUGACAAGGAGGGCUGAUUUUUCUUAUGGGAACAGCAAGAUUGUUUGCAAGCAUACUUUGUUGGUGAAGGCAUCCUUUUACCAACUAUUUCAUUAGCACUAUCCAGCUCUGCAUGUCUCCAGGGACAGUGCUGGCUUGAUUAAGCUCUGAAUGGGUUUCUGAGUUGCAGGGAAACUGGAGGGAGGAGAGACCCAUUUUCUACAGUAUAGCCUUGUCAGAGCUGAAAGGAAGGUAGUACUUCCCAGUUUAAAGAGAGGAAGAAACUAAAUUGCUUGCUGGAACCAAAGAAGACCCAGAGAUGUCUGACUGACUGUUAGGCAGUGAGGCAGAAAUUCCAGGCUGGUAGAAAGAUCUGAACAAAAAAAAACAGACUUUAUUGAAAAGGCAAUUCCCAGGCCUGCUAAAUGGAAAGAGAGAUGUCUAUUGGAAGGAAGUAAAACAUUCUUCAUAAAGAAGGUUUGGAGCCAGAUAUAAAGAAAGAUAUUGAAUGUCAUAUGAUAAUUUUUGCACUGAAAUAGACAAAGGAUAAAAGUUUGACAGUUCAUAAAGGAUGCAUUUUUUAAAAGAAAAAGAGGAUAGAAAAGGAUAAAAUAUGUCUUAAGAUAUAUUUUAAAAAACAAAAAACAGGCCAGGCACGGUGGCUCACACCUGUAAUCCCAGCACUUUGGGAAGCCGAGGCGGGAGAAUCACAAGGUCAGGAGUUCGAGACCAGUCUGGCCAACAUGGUGAAACUCCAUUUCUACUAAAAAUACAAAAAUUAGCUGGGUGUGGUGGCACAUGCCUGUAAUCCCAACUACUUGGGAGGCUGAGGCAGGAGGAUCACUUGAACCCGAGAGGCGGAGAUUGCAGUGAGCCAAGAUUGCGCCAUCACACUCUGGCCUGGGCAACAAGAGUGAAACUCCGUCUCAGGAAAAAAAAAAAAAAAAUUAGUUUCCUCUAGGAAAGUCCCUGGGUGCCUAAGGGUCAGAGAGGAGAGGCUUAAGUCUCCCUUUUUCUGUCUUUUGAAUUUUUACUUAUAUAAAUAUAUUAUUUAAAAAUUAAAAUUAAUAAAAUGAUGAUUAACAGAGAGAGACUAAAUUAAAGUGUUGUAUGUAUGAGCUGAGAUUAACAAAUGGGCUUUAUGUAAGCUAGGCAGACCUUUGGUGCCAAAUAGCCUGAGUUUAGAUGUAGGCUGUGCAGCCAUUGUCUGAGAAUGCUGGCUCCUAGCACCUGACAACAGUUUUAGAAAUUAGAUUCGUAGAGCUGAAGAAGAGAUGCCUCAACCCAUAUGGCGCUGGGUUGGGGCACAGACCCUCCCAUGGGGAGGAGGUAACCCUUGUUCCAGGUCAGCCCAUCAACAGAUGGCAACUUCAGGGUCGUUCAGCAGACAAUUCAACUUGUCUCUCUCCAAACACUCUCUCUCUCUUUUUUUUUUUUCCUUUUUUUGAGACAGAGUCUAACAUUGUUGCCCAGGCUGAGGUGGAGUUGUGCGAUCUGGACUCACUGCAACCUUGACCCCCUAGGCCCAAACAAUCCCCCCACCUCAGCCCCCAGAGUAGCUGGCACUACAGGCAUGUGCCAACAUGCCCAGCUAAUUUUUGUAUUUUUUGUAGGGACAGGGUUUUGCCAUGUUGCCCAGGCUGGUCUUGAACUUGUGGGCCCAAGCAAUCCUCCCGCCUCAGCCUCCUAAAGUGUUAGGAUUACAGGCAUGAGCCACUGCACCUGGCCCACACUCUUUUAAUAUUUGUUUGUUUAAAGAACAGCAUUCUGGACUGGGCGUGGUGGCUCACACCUGUAAUCCCAGCACUUUGGGAGGCCAAGGUGGGUGGAUCACCUCAGGUCAGGAGUUCGAGACCAGCCUGACCAACACAGUGAAACCCUGUCUCUACUAAAAAUACAAAAAAAUUAGCUGGGCGUGGUGGUGCAUGCCUGUAAUACCAACUACUCUGGAGGCUGAGGCACAAGAAUCACUUGAACAGGGGAGGUGGAGGUUGCAGUGAGCCAAGAUCACACCAUUGCACUCUAGCCUGGGCAACAAGAGUGAAACGCCAUCUAAAAAAAAAAAAAAAAAAGAAUAGCUUUCUGUAUAAAACUACAAAAUUAUACAAAAACAGAAGAAAAUAGUAACUAUCCAUUUACUUAAAAUAGGAAAAAAUAACCCAAAUAUUUCUCAUUUAUGACAGCAACAUAAUUAGAAAUAACCAAAAUAUUGCUAUUUACUUACAAUAAUGUAAAGUUGGAAGCCACUUGUAGGUCUUCCAUUAGGUCGGUUUACUUAAGGCAUCAUUUCACUAAGUGCAGUAAUUCACAGAGGCUUGUUUCUCACUCAGAUCAUAUAGUCUGAUGCCGAUUAGAUGGUCUUUUCUCUGCUAAGUGGUAACUCAGGAAUCUAGGCUGCUUCCGUAUUACAGCCAUGUCAACUAGAACCUCCAAAGCCACUGCAGCAUCAGACAAGAGAGCUGGAGGGAGACAUGAGUUUUUUAGCCCCGGGCCAGUCAUUUUCACCCACACUCUAUCAGCUGGAACCCAGUCACAUGGCCCCAGCAGAACUGCAAGUGAGGUGGGGAAAUGCGAGCAUCCCAUGUGCACAAGGAGAGGCAGCAGCGGACAGAAUGAGCAAGCACACUGGGCACAGGAGGAACUUUGUUAAUAAAUUAUGAUAUAUCUUUAUAGUGGAAUAUCAUUUAGGCUUUAAAAAUCAGAUUUUGAAGAGUACUUAAUGACAGGAAAAUGCCAAUGAUAAGUGAAAAGAAUGUAGACUCAGGAUUCUAAUUUGGGAAAAAAUCAUACAUGUAUAUACGUACUUAAAAUAUAGACUAAGAGGAAAUAGAAAAUAUGUUAUUUGUGGUUAUCUCUAAAUAGUAGGGUUAUAAGUUACUUUAUUUUUUACAGCUUCAAAGACAUUGCUAAGUUUUCUUAAUUGAUCACAUAUUUUUUCGAAAAGAACUAUGGAUAACUUGAAAGCCAAGGCUUUUUUUUUUUAAGUGAAAAAGAAAUUCUCAGACCAUCGAAAGUAUAAGUUGUUACAGAUACGAAUCUGAAGUUAUGCUAGUAAGCUUUUUUAUCAGCAGAGGGCAGCUCUUUAGUGCUUAUUUUUCCUGGUGGCAUAGAUGUUAGCCACAUUCCCUGUUUUACACAUUCGCUGUGGUCAGAAUCACAUAUUAGAUUUAUUCCCUGGGAAGGAGAAGCCAAGGCUGAAACAUAUCUGUCAGUUGCAACACUUAUUGAACAGUAUAUAUUUUGCUGAAGAAAGCAACUAAGCAAACCAGCUCUGCCCCUUCAGAAGGUCUUAGAAAGCAGACAGAACUAACAAUCUACAGCCUCAAUCAUAAAACUGUGGACACACUGAACUAUCACACACCACGGGAACACUGACUUCACCAGAAAGCGACCACAUUUUGUUUGGAAGGGAAUGAGGACUAGGCCAAGGCGGUUUGAUAUUCCGGUAGGAAAGGGCUAGACAGAAACCAUAUUUCAUGUGUACAGUGAGACUUUGUGGAUUAAAAACUAUCAUUUUUAAUGUCCAUCCAAGGCAAAGAAUAUUAACAGGAUAUGAACAGACUAAAUAUGGAUGGCUAAUUAAAAUACAAAAAUGUGCUCAAUAUGUAUUUUUAAUCUAUCAUGUUGAAAAUUUUACAAGAUUGGUCAUGUCCCAGUGUUGAUGAGGUAUGUGGAUCAACAGUUAAUUCUCAAAUGCUGUUGGUGGGAGUAUAAAUUAGCCUUUGUACUACCAACAUUUUAAAUGUGUGACUACUUUGAUGGACAAUUGCCCAUCAAUUGCUCCUUUACCUCAAGGUAACUCACUCAGCAGAGAUAAUGUGGGUGAUGUGAGCAAGGCCUGUGCUGUCCUGCUGUUCAGCUCCCUAACCUAAGCCUACUCUCAACCCCUCAACCAGCCUAGAAAAGGUCCAAAGCAGGAGAGAGAGAGAGAGAGAGAGAGAGAGAGGAGAGAGAGAAGGAGAGAGGAGAGAGAGAGACAGAGAGACGGAGAGAGACAGAGAGACAGAGAGAGAGACAGAGAGGAGAGAGAGGAGAGAGAGAGGAGAGAGAGAAGGAGAGAGGAGAGAGAGAGAGAGAGAGAGAGAGAGCCCCCCUAUAGAGCCCUCUAGUGGCUGCUUUUUAGAGAACUGGCCACUUGAGGAAUUUGCUUCACGUCUUCCCACCACGGUGCAAAAGGCAAGACUGACAUCAGAGGACUUUGAUGCUUGGCUACCUGAUCCUACCACCACCACCUGAGACUGGCCAGGCACAGCCCUCUAGCUUGACUUUGCCUAAGAUGAGCUCUGGGCAUUCCCAGAGUGGUACAACUGAAAAUUCCUUCCCUGCUAGUUAAAGAAAAAAUUGUUCAUGGAUAAUUAAUAAAGCCUGUUAAGAAAGACUUUAUUCGGACCAUCCCAUAGGUAUAGGGACCACAGCAAUGGGAUUGCAACUCCAAAUACAGCAUGGGCAAGUAGAAAUGUAUAGCCAAGGAGCAGGGGGGUGGUCUUGCUAAACUGACUUAACAGAGUUCUUGCUAAAACUAGAUUUUACGAGGAAAUACACAUAUGAGCCUACGAGAGGGUUCAGGACUCUGACUAAAGUUUGGCCAAGCGAAGGAUUUUUGUCACGGUGCCCCAAUGCAUACAGACAAGGAAUCUGGCAAAAUCCCCAAAGAUGUUAUCUUAUGUGGAAUCCCCUGGAAGCACAGGGACACACUGGUAAGGCAAUUCCCUGGAGCAACUUAGGUUUCCAAUUGCUUCCUUGAAAAUAUGCAAACUAACUUUUUUAAUGACCUCGAGUUAUACAAGGUUGAGCAAGUAAGGAAAACAUUAUAUAGGUAGGAAAGAAUGGGGGGUGGGAUAGGGACACAAAGGAACGUUUAGGUUUGUAAAGUGCUUAUUGCGUGCCAGGGAUCAGGGCUGCUACCUAUACUGGUGCAAUGUGCUGGCCCACCCACAAGCUCUAAGGCACCUCUGCACACAUUAGAGAAAAGUAGGUGCAGGGUUUAGCAGAAAGACAGAGAUUUCGUGUGAAGCCAAACAUGCCCUAUUCUUGGGUAUAUGCAGCUGCAUGUCGAGACACACAACUUGGCAAGAAAAGGGGACUUGAAUGUGGUUCCUGCUCACCUCCGCCCUGCUGGCCAAGGACCUUGGUGGAGUGCACCAACCCCCAGCUAUAUCAGCAACCUCCAGUUUUGCCAAUGCCAAAGGCCCCCAACCAAGAAAAAUAGUGAGAGCUAAAAUCUAGCCCUUGCUUUGCUGGCCCUGAGCCCUGUGUCAAUCUGGAGGGGUCACCCUUGUGUAAUAAGCACAAAGUUACCUUUGUGCCAGUGGCCCUGACUGUAUGUUGUGUCAUCCUCUAAUUCCCCUGUGAGGUAGUCAGAGUGGAUUUACUGUGAAGCUAAUGACACAGACUUUUCCAUAGACCCAGAGAGAGGCUCAAGGAUUGGUUUACAUGGUCAUGUUUUGUCCUAACAUUUGCAAAAGCAGGAUAAUUUAACUGUAUAAUUAUAAUAAUGUAAACUUGCAUAAAAUUUCACCUAAAAAUAUUGCCAUAGCAACUUUUGAAGACAAGUACAAUUAUUACCCCAUUUUAUAACUGAGACAGAGAAAAGCUCAGUAGCAUUGCUGUUGAGUGGUAGGUAGAGCUUGAAUUUGUUGCAAGCUGGCUGACUCCAAGGCCAAAAGAUCAUGGGGAAUAUGUAUAUUGUUUCCAAGAAGACAAAGUUUCCAAGAGCAUCCUACAAGGUGCUGUUCAUUCUUGCCCCAAAUUCUCCAGAUGUCAUGAGAUAUAGAAGAGAAACAUCUUUCGAUGUUGUUCUAGUCAGAGGAGACUUCUAAUAGGCAGAGAACAAGUUAUGGAAGCUGUUCCUGAAAGAUGCAGUUGUCAUUGUGGAACCAGUCUUGGAUAUUGUGUGGCAGCUGGACCACACAGCCAUUGUUAUAAAGGAGAGCAAUAUGCCUUGUGACCCUUGUAUUAUUUAGGGUAUAGUCUUUCAGGGAGAAACAACUUUUCCUCUGUCCUCUUAGGUUCAGUAUCUGGGGGCCUGUGAAUUAAACUAACAAAAGAUAGAUUAAUGAGAGAAAAAGCGUGCAAUUUUUGCUAAUAUUUAUAUGCACAAGAGUUCACAGAAAAGAAGUGAAACUCAAAGAAGUAGUUAGACUUCUAGUUUACAUAUAAUUUUAAUAAAGGAAAAUUUGAACUUCAAGGGAUGAUAAAUCAUGGGGAAGUAACUAGGAAAUAUAUGGGGGAAACUAACAGAAGAUAAAGGUUCUUUUCCUAAGGUCUGUUAUGCAGAUUUAUCUUGGUGCCAACUCUCCAUCUCUGGUGAUAUAAGUUGCUCUCCUUUUCCUGAUACAGGAGAUAGACACCAUAACAAAGGGAAACUCAUGCCCAACUUCUAGGCAGAUAAAGGGAGGGUGGAGAACUCUUCUACAUCUGUUGAUUUUCAGUUGCCUUUGGGUCAAAAUAAACCUUACGUUAAAGUGGCAUAUUUUGGGGUAGCGUAUCCUGAUCCCCUUCAAGUAAAGAAAAAAAAAAAAACAACAACACUGUGGCUUACCUAAAAUCUAAAUUUAUCUCCCUCCCAUUUAACAGUCCAGAAUAAGUGGCCUGGGUCGGUAGGACAGCUUUAUCAUGCUCAAUAUAUGGCUCCCAAGAUUUCUUCAGCCAGCCAUCACCUAAGGCACAAGUGAGAGUCCCUUUGGUUCAGACAGAAUCACAUGGUCACAUCUAGCUGCUUAAGAAGACAAGAAAUUAGUCUCUAGCUGGGCUCGUGUAAAACUUGGGGAUUCUUUUACCAAAAAAAAUAGAAGGGAAGAUGGAUAUUGGGAGAUUAUUGGCAGUAUCUACCAAAGUCAUGAAGCCAACAAUGGUUUGACUUAGGGAACUCUGGGGGUUGAGGACUGUGAGUAUGAUGUAAAAAUUAAUGUGAAUUUUAGGACAAAGAAGAUGAAUAAGAGAGACAGCUUUCCCUGGGGGUAAUGGGAUACAGGUUGCACGAGGCAAAAAGAAAAGUGGAGCACAGAGACAGCCACUUCAGGGAACUUUCCUGUGCUGUGGGUGAGGAUAAUUCCACAACAAGAAGAUACAAAGAAAAUCUGAGAGUCACUUCUGUUCACUCACAAGAUGAUUUGCGAGACCCAAGAAGAAGACCUGUUAGCUUAGAGAACAGGGAGAGGAUUUUUUUUUUUUUAAUGACACAAAGGAGAAAGAUUGAAACUUUUCUAGUCUAUCCACGGCAGAGUUUAUCAAUCCUUUACUGAGGAACGAUUCACUAUCACACAAGGUCUCAUGGAUGGUAACCACAUCCUUCCUCUUCCUUCCUCAACCAACCUCUGUAAAGAGUAUUCUAGGACUCAUUGUCUCUACCUUCUCAUCUUUCUACCAAUGAAGCAGCUCCUGUUUUGGUGUUGAGGGACAUUGUUAUUGCCCAAUUCAGCAGUACUUUACAUUCUUACAUGGUGUUUCUCUGCGUCACCUAUUUUAAAUAAUUAACCAUUUCCUUCUUCCUCAUAUUAUUUCUUGUCAUGAUUUCUAUGACAUCAGUUUCUCCUAAUUCUCUCCAGCUUCAUCUUCUCAUUCUCCUCCCUAAACUGCUUGUCUACUUACAUCGUGGUUUGUUAGAAAGAGUAGAUUGGCUCACUCAAGUUGAUCUUAACCUCCUCCUGAGUUUCAGGGGCUGGAAAGCUAAAAAGCUACAUAUCCUAAACUCCUUUGUUUCUUGAGUUCCAGACAUAUUUUAGAUUCUGCCAAUCAGAUGGACUCAUAUAGUAUGGAGACCUGAAAAGAGGCGGGUGGAUGCAAGGAAGCUAUUUUGGGGAAGAAUCUGAUAAAGGCAUUUAUUAGAUUUUCAAUAAAAUCCAUGUCUUAGUCCAUUUUGGCUGCCUAAACAACAAAUGUUUAUUUCUUACAGUUCUGGAGGCUGAGGAGUCUGAGAUCAAGCUAUCAGUAGAUUUGGUGUCUGGUGAAAGCCUACAUCCUGGUUUAUAGAUGGCCAUCUAUGGCCAUCAUGUUAUGUCUUCACAUGCAGGAGGGAUGGAGGGAGCUCUCUCUCUAAUAAGGGCACUAAUCCCAUCCAGGAGAGUUCCCCUCUCAUGACCUAAUUGCCUCUCGAAGACCCCACCCCCUAAUCCUAUCAUCUUGGGGGCUAGGAUUUCAACAGAUGAAUUUGGUGGGGGGAACACAAACAUUUACUCCACCACAGUCUAUAAACCACAAGCCAUAAACAGUCUAUAAGCCAUAAACAGGGUGAGUCACUGCUUUAUGCCUUCUUUCUAGGAAAUGCAUCUGCUCUCACGUUUCCAUUUCCUGUGUGCGCAGAUGAUUUCUAUGUUAGUCAGCUAUUAACGCAAAAAUGCUGCAUAACAAACCACCUAUCUUAGUCUGUUCUGUGCUGCCAUAACAGAAUUACUGGAGACUAGGUAAUUUAUAAAAAACCAGAAAUUUAUUUUUCACAGUUCUGGAGGCUGGGAUAUCCAAGAUCAAGUCACCUUCAGGUUUGGUCUCUGGUUUUAAGAUGAUGCCUUCCUAUGUCCUCACAGGACUGAAGAGCAGAAGAGAGAGACAGCCCAUUCCCACAAGCUCUUUUCAUGGUGGCAUUAAUCUGUUCAUGAGGGUGGAGCUCUCAUGACCUAAACAGCUCCCCAAGGGCCCCCACUUCCCAACAUGGUGGCAUUGAGGUUGAGUUUCCAACAUGUAAAUCUUAGAGAGGACAAAAAAUAUUCAAACCAUGGCACCACUGCCAAAUUCAUAGGCUUGCAACAAGCCUUUAUAGUUUUUUACUCAUAGGUUUAUGGGUCAUUUGGGGCAGCUCUGCUUCAGGCUGCAGGUCACCUGGGCUUUCUUUGGGCUUCAGAUUGGGUUCUGAUCUCCCCAUUGCCCUUGAUUGACAGUUACUCAUGACAUGUUCUACCCAUGACAUGUUCAUCCCAUGACAGAUCAAAGAAGCUUAGGAGAGAAGCCAUGUCACACAGCACAUUGAAAGCUUCUGCUCUUAUGUCUGCUUCUGUUUUGUUGAACAAAGUAAGAUACCUGGCCAAGCUCAAAGUCAAUGGAAUAGGAAAGUAUAAUUGUCCUCCAGGGGAAGAAGGAAGGGAAUUAAUAUUUUGUAAAAAGUUGACCAGAUCAGCUGGGCGCGGUGGCUCAUGCCUGUAAUCCCAGCACUUUGGGAGGCUGAGGAGGGCAAAUCAUGAGGUAAGGAGAUCGAGACCAUCCUGGCCAACAUGGUGAAACCCCGUCUAUUCUAAAACUACAAAAAUUAGCUGAGCAUUGUGGCUGCGUGCCUGUAAUCCCAGCUACUCAGUAGGCUGAGGCAGGAGAAUCGCUUGAACCAGAGUGUCAGAGGUUGCAGUGAGCCAAGAUCGUGCCACUGCACUCCAGCCUGGCAACAGAGCAAGACUCUGUCUCAAAAAAAAAAAAAAAAAAAAAAAAAAAAAGAUGACCAGAUCUAUUCCAACUUCCAAUAGAAAUCUCAAGCUGAGAAUAUUUUUCUUGGGCUCCAGAUCCUGCCUGUGAGACAUCAUCCCUGUGUUCAUGUUGUUUCUAAGGCUGUCUUCAGAGAUGACUGUGACCUACCCACAGCAGGUGGGGGUGGAUAUUAAUAACUGCCAAUUCACAGAAUA